UACGGAGGGGGCUAGCGUUGUUCGGAAUUACUGGGCGUAAAGCGCACGUAGGCGGCCUUUCAAGUCAGAUGUGAAAGCCCCGGGCUUAACCCGGGAAUUGCAUUUGAUACUGUUGGGCUUGAGACCGGGAGAGGAUAGCGGAAUUCCCAGUGUAGAGGUGAAAUUCGUAGAUAUUGGGAGGAACACCUGUGGCGAAAGCGGCUCACUGGACCAUUACUGACGCUGAUGCUCGAAAGCUAGGGGAGCAAACAGG
rnacentral:rRNA from 1 species